rfam:Candidatus Desantisbacteria bacterium CG1_02_49_89 cg1_0.2_scaffold_5813_c, whole genome shotgun sequence.
GGGGGUAUAGCUCAGCUGGUAGAGCGAUUCGUUCGCAACGAAUAGGUCAGCGGUUCGAAUCCGCUUACCUCCA